GGGGGGNAUUAUAAUAUACACAUGGUGACAUGGGUAAUGGGUAAUUAACAAAACUCUUCUUAGAGUGGACAGCAAGGAACGGUAAGCAUUGUAAUGGAGCUAUGGAGUUGGGUGGAAUGGAAGACUGUUGGCAAGGGAAGAUACAUUACAGAAGGAGCCAAGUGAUGUUUGUUCAGUUGACUGGGUGGAGUUGAGGAGGCUGCUGUUUCGAUCCUUAUUGAUUUUUUUGAGAUUUAUUUCGUGUGUGGAUUGAUCAUUUUAUUUCGUGUGUGUGUUCAGCAGGCCGAAAAAGGCCCAAUAACAACAACUUCAGCCCAUCAAACAAGACAUGCCCAGGGAAAAUUAAAAUUUCUCAGGUCCGUGAAGGCGUGAAUAGAGAGAGAGAGAGAGAGAGCACUGUGCAUUCACCGCCGCACCGGUGUAACGGUAUCAGCAGCAAUUCACCUUCUCAUAUGUGUAGAGUGGCUGAGACGAGAGCUAUGGACUAUUUUGGGUCAGGACUCAAACAAGUGCUCGUAACUUGUACACAUGAUUGUUGCCAAGAUUGUACUCUUGAUGAGCUACUGAGAUUGCUGGGCGGAGGAGAGGUAUUUGGUACUCUCUGAUCUAAAGAGGAAGCAAAAGACAACGAGUCCCUUGAAAAGACCUCUUUGGAUACAACGAGUCCCUUGAAAAGACCUCUUUGGAUACAACGAGUCUCUUGAAAAGACCUCUUUGGAUACAACGAGUCCCUUGAAAAGACCUCUGAUCUGUGCUUUUUGGCUGUAUCAAGGAGCCUCAUCAUCUGCUCACAGGUAGCUGAUAUGGGACCUGGCUCUUGGACUGCCACUUGAGCGGCCAAAUAGUCCAAAGAUGGAGAGGUUACAUGUCCUCCAAAAGGUGAAACUUUGGAGCUUCUUGUGUCUUAAGCUCCUCUCUAAACCACCAGAGGAUUAUCAUGUUCUUCGGUGUGGGUUUUACGGGCAACUUCUCUCGUCCAAAGCGUUGGGAGAUCACAGUUGGUGGUUAUGCGACUUUUGCUGGUAACGUUUUAUAUCCGUUGAUGGGUGGAGGAGAAGUAUCUCAACUACACUUUGCUAGCUCAGCUCCUACAGUGACAUCAUCAAACUGAAUUUGAAGAUCAGAGAUAUGCUAUGGUUUGAAGUAUGAAUGAAAAGAUUCAGAACCAACACAAAGAUGAACUUCCCCUACAGUAACAAUAUCAAACUGAUUCAACCAUUCCAUACCUUGUGCUACCCUAGAUGCCGAGGAGCUCUCUGGUUCUCAUCCUGCUCAAGUACGCGAGAGAAUGGGACUACAUACGCUGGACUCGGAGGAAGAACAACUGGAGCUCCUCAUUGUCACUGGUCGAUUAUGUUGCAUGGCAAUGUGAUCAAGAUGCUUUUUGUUCACGAGGUCGUAAUAGGGAACUCGGUGAAUGGGACUAUAUUCUCUGAACUCAGAGGAAGAACAACUGGAGCUCCUCAGAAUCACUGGUAAGAGAAAUCUAAAAAAUCCCAAGGAGAUAAGUCGAUGGACCUUAAGGGAAAAUAGUUUUGUUCUAUAUAUUCGAAGAUACUAAAUUUAUGGAGAUAUGUCGACGAAGGCAGCUCAUAUGCUCACCGUACCUAAGGUAACAAUGGUUAGACCAUUUAAUUUCCCGCUGGAGAUGCCACUACUUCAACUGAUGGGGGGCAUUAUAAUAUACACAUGGAUAAGCAUUGUAAGGGAGCUAUGGAGGAGUUGGGUGAAAUGGAAGACUGUUGGCAAUGGAAGAUACACAAGGAGCCAAGUGAAGAGCCGAGAUGUUUGUUCAGUUGACUGGUGGUGGACGUGAGGCUGCUGUUUGCAGAGCAAACUCAAAAAGGUCAAGGUGCAUUUUGGCCAUGGAAGAUACACAAGGAGCCAAGUGAAGAAGAUCCCAAAUGUUUGUUCACUUGACUGGAGGAAGGAUGCUGCUUGCAGAGAGCCAAACUCAAUGGCCAAGGUUGUACAUGUUGAGCUAGUGAAAUUGCUGGGUGGAGGAGAAGUAUUUGGUACUCUCUGAUCUAAAGAGGAAGCAAAAGACAACGAGUCCCUUGAGAAGACCUCUUCGGAUACAAUUACAUAUGGUACUCUCUAAUCUCACUUUCUCUCUUUUCAUCCUCCUUCUUCUUCUUCUUGUUUGCGAGACGAGAGAUAUGGAGCUGGUUGAAAUCGAAGAUAUGGAGUAUGGUAGGUGGAUGUUGGCCAUGAAAGAUAAGAUACAUUACGGAAGGAGCCAAGUUAAGAGCCAAGCUCGCUCCCUCCUCCGACGGUUUGAUUUCUAAAUCUUAAUUUUAAUUACUUGUCCUUAUCUUAUUGUAGAUUGAUGGCUGGUUUGGUCUCUCUCUUUUUAUUUUAUUUUCUGAAAUUUUGUCACUCUCUUCUUUCGUUAUAGCUUCUGAUAUUUUCACUUGUGGGUUUCUAAAAUUGAAUUUACAUUGUUAUUUAAUUCUCAUUGAUUUAAUAUUUGUGGAGGUUGCUACUAUGAUAAUAAUUGAUCGGUGAUAUGGCUUUGAUGUAUCGUUGUCAAACUUUGAAUAUUGAUGGUUUAGGGUUUUUAUCGGGUAACUUCCUUUGUGUGUGCGCUUUUUUUUCAGGAAUGGGAUCAGUACUGUCUCUAUGAUGCUUUGUGACGCUACUUGUUAAGGUUUUGGAUGAUGCUUUUAUGGUUUCGGACCAGAUCAGCAGUUGUUCAAGAUUGUACAUGAUGAGCUAGUGAAAUUGACGGGUGGAGGAGAAGUAUCUGAGCUACACUUCCUUGUACCCGGAGCUGCAUUCACCGGGCUACCAGCAAUUCCACGGGAAAGUGGAUUGGAUCUUCAAACCCAUAACAUGCUUUUAAGAUCCUCUAAACUUAGAACCUUUCACUAAAGUUACUGAAACAGGAACUCAGCCAUUUGUGGACAGCUUAUCCCAGUGCCCCAAGCAUGGUCUCCAUAACCCUUUCAAAUCUCCACAGAGAUCUUACGCAAAUGUAUAGGGUUUUGGCGAGCCAAGCACUCAAAAGGUAAGAAGACUCUCUGUCUGUGACAAAUCCUCUUACCUCCCUUGCUUCUUUGACUCUCUCCAGAUUAAAUCAUUCCAUACCUUUUGCUACCGUAGAUGCUGAGGGGCUAUCUGGAGAUGGGACAAAUGAUGCCCCUGCAUUACACGAGGGAUAGAAUUACUCAAAACUGUUGAAUUAUUUUUAUUUGAUUUUUUUUCUGAUUAUGUCAGAAUCGAAAAGUUUCUCUUUCCCAAGUAUUUCAUCUGUCAGCCGAUCAUUUUCUCAUUGGUCUGAAACUUUUUUUGAGUGGAUUUGCAUGCAGAUAUUGGUAUUGUAAUGAGAAUAGCAGGAACAUAAGUGGCUAAGGAGAGUUCGGACAUCAUCAUCUUGGGUGACAACUUUGCUUCACUUUUUUGUUCAAAUUCACCUUUUUCCAUUCUGAAUCCAUAUUCACGUUACAGGGGAAUUUCUCAGCUGGCCAUCUCAUAUUAUCACAAGGUCUUGUGGUUGAAACCUGAUGAUCAGUUUUGUACCGAAAUGUAGAACGUGUCUCUCAUAGAUGAUUGUCAGAACGGGGUAGACGCAAAGGUUGAGCUCUGCUAGAAAUUGGAAGUCCCGAACAGCUCUCCUGGAUCACAGACUCACAGUAGAUCUCAAUCUCCUCUGCUCUGAGCGAUUCAUCAGCCUGUAGAGAACCUCUAGAAGUAUGUGAAUACUGAUGCUAGAGUUUUAACCAUUUAAAGAUAUUCCUCCAGCAGCACCGACACACAAUGCCCUCCAGAAGGAAUCACCAACCGAUUCUUGUACCAAAGCCUACCCUCCACAACUUUGUACUGGCUAAACUGCAAAGGAUCCUUUAAAACUGCCCGCAACAGGGAUUGAAUCUCACUGUUCUCCUCAAUUUCCUUGAAAAUAUCAUGCACCUGCAAUGCAGAAGGAAUAGUCAACCCAAAUAAGAGAGCAGAACAAGACGAGGAACUAGGAUGAUGAAUCCGAGACAAGCCAUCAGCAGCUUUGUCUUCAUCUUGCGUGAUCAUUGAAGUUAGAGUUUGUUAGAGAGCUUGCGUGCUCUGUUCAUGGUGAUAGGAGAGGAGCACUGUAACUCCGAUCUUGUCAGGGUUCAUCGUUUAUACUAGGGAUUAAGAAGAGAUAAGAGAGAAGAGAUCACACCUUCAAUCUUACCAAAUGGUGCGUUCGUGGUCACAGAUCGAAACAACCGCCAUGGAUCUCGUUGCAGUUCCAGUUUUCACAGGUAGAUUUGAUUUGCGUCAUUGGCUUGAUUGGAUGGAGAAUCGUUUUGUGUUGGGAGAUUACACAGAUUUUGAGAGAUUACACUUUGCACAUGGUUUCAUCGAAGGCGACGCAGAAGCGUUUGUUCGUGGUGUUGAAUCAGUGAUGCCUUACUGGAGUUGGAACGAAAUGAAGGAAUCGUUGUUGUGUGCUUUUGGUACCGAGGAUGAUCCAGAGAGAAUCAGCUUGGUCUUGGAGCGAGAACGACGAUGGGAGAAACUCCAACAAUCGUAUAUGGCGAAGCGAUCGUCUCCACAACGAUCUUCUGAGAAAAUCCAACCGAUUUCAAUGGAGCAAGCUCAUGAUCAUCUGGAAAUUUCUGAAGAAUCAUUGAAUCAGGUCGGUGCAAUCGUUGUUGAGAAGAAAGGAUCGCAGAAGGAGCAAGAUUCAUGGUUUGAACCAACUGGUUCCGAAACAGAAUCAAGUCUCACAUCGCAGCCACAAGCUGAAUCGCAAUCGUUGGACGUGGAUCACGGCGUAAACGCAAACGCAACGUUGCCAACGCUACCGGUAUGCGUUUCUGAUGAUUCUGAGCUUGUGAGGGAAGAAGUGACUUUGGUGUUGGACAAUCACAAGUAUGUGGUUGUGAACAAGUCACUGCAGCAGGAAUCAAUUCAGAAGAACAUAGAGAUUAUUGGUUACAUUGGUUAUGUGUAUAGAUUGGUUUAGUUAAAACGGUUUAGUUGGUAUACUUUACUUGUAUAUAUCACCCAGGUUGUACAGUUUACAGAAUUAAUUGAAUGAGAAAAUAUCUUUAACAAA